AACGAACGCUGGCGGCAGGCUUAACACAUGCAAGUCGAGCGCGUAGCAAUACGAGCGGCAGACGGGUGAGUAACGCGUGGGAAUCUACCCAUCACUAGGGAAUAACUCAGGGAAACUUGUUCUAAUACCCUAUACGACCGAGAGGUGAAAGAUUUAUCGGUGAUGGAUGAGCCCGCGUUGGAUUAGCUAGUUGGUGGGGUAAAGGCCUACCACGGCGACGAUCCAUAGCUGGUCUGAGAGGAUGAUCAGCCACACUGGGACUGAGACACGGCCCAGACUCCUACGGGAGGCAGCAGUGGGGAAUAUUGGACAAUGGGCGCAAGCCUGAUCCAGCCAUGCCGCGUGAGUGAUGAAGGCCCUAGGGUUGUAAAGCUCUUUCGCCGGUGAAGAUAAUGACGGUAACCGGAGAAGAAGCCCCGGCUAACUUCGUGCCAGCCGCCGCAGUAACAC
rnacentral:rRNA from 1 species